CCUACGGGAGGCAGCAGUGGGGAAUUUUGGACAAUGGGCGCAAGCCUGAUCCAGCAAUGCCGCGUGAGUGAAGAAGGCCUUCGGGUUGUAAAGCUCUUUUGUCAGGGAAGAAACGGUCUACUCUAAUACAGUGGGCUAAUGACGGUACCUGAAGAAUAAGCACCGGCUAACUACGUGCCAGCAGCCGCGGUAAUACGUAGGGUGCAAGCGUUAAUCGGAAUUACUGGGCGUAAAGCGUGCGCAGGCGGUUAUAUAAGUCAGAUGUGAAAUCCCCGGGCUCAACCUGGGAACUGCAUUUGAGACUGUAUGGCUAGAGUGUGUCAGAGGGGGGUAGAAUUCCACGUGUAGCAGUGAAAUGCGUAGAUAUGUGGAGGAAUACCGAUGGCGAAGGCAGCCCCCUGGGAUAACACUGACGCUCAUGCACGAAAGCGUGGGGAGCAAACAGGAUUAGAUACCCUGGUAGUCCACGCCCUAAACGAUGUCUACUAGUUGUCGGGACUUAAUUGUCUUGGUAACGCAGCUAACGCGUGAAGUAGACCGCCUGGGGGAGGUACGGUCGCGAGAGUAAACUAACGAAAGAAGUAGUAGACGCGAGAGAGACGACGACGGACGACGACGGAGGGAGGAGG
rnacentral:rRNA from 1 species